AAUGCAUAGAUAUUACACAGAAUACCAAUUGCGAAGGCAGAUCACGAACAAUGAACUGACGCUGAUGGACGAAAGCGUAGGUAGCGAACAGGAUUAGAUACCCUGGUAGUCUACGCAGUAAACGAUGGUUACUAGCUGUUUGGCAUAAUUGAGUGCUGAGUGGUUAAGCGAAAGUGAUAAGUAACCCACCUGGGGAGUACGUUCGCAAGAAUGAAACUCGAAGGAAUUGACGGGGGCCCGCACAAGCGGUGGAGCAUGUGGUUUAAUUCGAUAAUACGCGAGGAACCUUACCAGGGCUUAAAUGCAGUCUGACAGGGGUGGAAACACCUUUUUCUUCGGACAGAUUGCAAGGUGCUGCAUGGUUGUCGUCAGCUCGUGCCGUGAGCUGUCAGGUUAAGUCCUAUGACGAGCGCAACCCCUAUGGUUAGUUCCUACCAGCUUAUGCUGAUGAACUCUAGCCAGACUGCCGGUGUAAACCGCGAGGAUAGGUGGGGAUGACGUCAAAUCAUCACGGCCCUUACGUCCUGGGCUACACACGUGGUACAAUGGUAUGUACAAUGAGCAGCCUCCACGCGAGUGG
rnacentral:rRNA from 1 species